rnacentral:rRNA from 1 species
UACGUAGGGUGCAAGCGUUAAUCGGAAUUACUGGGCGUAAAGCGUGCGCAGGCGGUGAUGUAAGACAGGUGUGAAAUCCCCGGGCUUAACCUGGGAACUGCGCUUGUUACUGGCAAGCUGGAGUGUGGCAGAGGGGGGUGGAAUUCCACGUGUAGCAGUGAAAUGCGUAGAGAUGCGGAGGAACACCGAUGGCGAAGGCAGCCCCCUGGGCCAACACUGACGCUCAGGCACGAAAGCGUGGGGAGCAAACAGG